GCGGGCAUGGUCUAGGGGUAUGACAGUAGCUUCCCAAGCUACUUGCCCGGGUUCAAAUCCCGGUGCCCGCA
rnacentral:tRNA from 1 species